UACGGGGGGGGCAAGCGUUGUUCGGAAUUACUGGGCGUAAAGGGCUCGUAGGCGGCCAACUAAGUCAGACGUGAAAUCCCUCGGCUUAACCGGGGAACUGCGUCUGAUACUGGAUGGCUUGAGGUUGGGAGAGGUGAGUGGAAUUCCUAGUGUAGAGGUGAAAUUCGUAGAUAUUAGGAAGAACACCAGUGGCGAAGGCGGCUCACUGGCCCGGUACUGACGCUGAGGCGCGAAAGCGUGGGGAGCAAACAGG
rnacentral:rRNA from 1 species